rnacentral:rRNA from 1 species
AAUUGAAGAGUUUGAUCAUGGCUCAGAUUGAACGCUGGCGGCAAGCCUAACACAUGCAAGUCGAGCGGCAGCGAAAAGAAAGUUUUCUUUCUUGUCGGCGAGCGGCAAACGGGUGAGUAAUAUCUGGGGAUCUACCCGAAAAAGGGGGAUAACUACUAGAAAUGGUAGCUAAUACCGCAUAAUGUUGAAAAACCAAAGUGGGGGACCUUAUGGCCUCACGUUUUCGGAUGAACCCAGACGAGAUUAGCUUGUUGGUAGAGUAAUAGCCUACCAAGGCAACGAUCUCUAGCUGGUCUGAGAGGAUAACCAGCCACACUGGAACUGAGACACGGUCCAGACUCCUACGGGAGGCAGCAGUGGGGAAUAUUGCACAAUGGGCGCAAGCCUGAUGCAGCCAUGCCGCGUGUGUGAAGAAGGCCUUCGGGUUGUAAAGCACUUUCAGCGAGGAGGAAGGGUAAUGUGUUAAUAAGACAUUGCAUUGACGUUACUCGCAGAAGAAGCACCGGCUAACUCCGUGCCAGCAGCCGCGGUAAUACGGAGGGUGC